rnacentral:rRNA from 1 species
UUAAGCGACUAAGCGUACACGGUGGAUGCCCUGGCAGUCAGAGGCGAUGAAGGACGUGCUAAUCUGCGAUAAGCGUCGGUAAGGUGAUAUGAACCGUUAUAACCGGCGAUUUCCGAAUGGGGAAACCCAGUGUGAUUCGUCACACUAUCAUUAACUGAAUCCAUAGGUUAAUGAGGCGAACCGGGGGAACUGAAACAUCUAAGUACCCCGAGGAAAAGAAAUCAACCGAGAUUCCCCCCAGUAGCGGCGAGCGAACGGGGAGGAGCCCAGAGCCUGAAUCAGUGUGUGUGUUAGUGGAAGCGUCUGGAAAGGCGCGCGAUACAGGGUGACAGCCCCGUACACAAAAAUGCACAUACUGUGAGCUCGAUGAGUAGGGCGGGACACGUGGUAUCCUGUCUGAAUAUGGGGGGACCAUCCUCCAAGGCUAAAUACUCCUGACUGACCGAUAGUGAACCAGUACCGUGAGGGAAAGGCGAAAAGAACCCCGGCGAGGGGAGUGAAAAGAACCUGAAACCGUGUACGUACAAGCAGUGGGAGCCUCUUUAUGGGGUGACUGCGUACCUUUGUAUAAUGGGUCAGCGACUUAUAUUCUGUAGCAAGGUUAACCGAAUAGGGGAGCCGAAGGGAAACCGAGUCUUAACUGGGCGUUAAGUUGCAGGGUAUAGACCCGAAACCCGGUGAUUCAGCCAUGGGCAGGUUGAAGGUUGGGUAACACUAACUGGAGGACCGAACCGACUAAUGUUGAAAAAUUAGCGGAUGACUUGUGGCUGGGGUGAAAGGCCAAUCAAACCGGGAGAUAGCUGGUUCUCCCCGAAAGCUAUUUAGGUAGCGCCUCGUGAAUUCAUCUCCGGGGGUAGAGCACUGUUUCGGCAAGGGGGUCAUCCCGACUUACCAACCCGAUGCAAACUGCGAAUACCGGAGAAUGUUAUCACGGGAGACACACGGCGGGUGCUAACGUCCGUCGUGAAGAGGGAAACAACCCAGACCGCCAGCUAAGGUCCCAAAGUCAUGGUUAAGUGGGAAACGAUGUGGGAAGGCCCAGACAGCCGAUGUUGGCUUAGAAGCAGCCAUCAUUUAAAGAAAGCGUAAUAGCUCACUGGUCGAGUCGGCCUGCGCGGAAGAUGUAACGGGGGCUAAACCAUGCACCGAAGCUGCGGCAGCGACACUAUGUGUUGUUGGGUAGGGGAGCGUUCUGUAAGCCUGUGAAGGUGUACUGUGAGGUAUGCUGGAGGUAUCAGAAGUGCGAAUGCUGACAUAAGUAACGAUAAAGCGGGUGAAAAGCCCGCUCGCCGGAAGACCAAGGGUUCCUGUCCAACGUUAAUCGGGGCAGGGUGAGUCGACCCCUAAGGCGAGGCCGAAAGGCGUAGUCGAUGGGAAACAGGUUAAUAUUCCUGUACUUGGUGUUACUGCGAAGGGGGGACGGAGAAGGCUAUGUUGGCCGGGCGACGGUUGUCCCGGUUUAAGCGUGUAGGCUGAUUUUCCAGGCAAAUCCGGAAAAUCAAGGCUGAGGCGUGAUGACGAGGCACUACGGUGCUGAAGCAACAAAUGCCCUGCUUCCAGGAAAAGCCUCUAAGCAUCAGGUAACAUCAAAUCGUACCCCAAACCGACACAGGUGGUCAGGUAGAGAAUACCAAGGCGCUUGAGAGAACUCGGGUGAAGGAACUAGGCAAAAUGGUGCCGUAACUUCGGGAGAAGGCACGCUGAUAUGUAGGUGAAGCGACUUGCUCGUGGAGCUGAAAUCAGUCGAAGAUACCAGCUGGCUGCAACUGUUUAUUAAAAACACAGCACUGUGCAAACACGAAAGUGGACGUAUACGGUGUGACGCCUGCCCGGUGCCGGAAGGUUAAUUGAUGGGGUUAGCGGUAACGCGAAGCUCUUGAUCGAAGCCCCGGUAAACGGCGGCCGUAACUAUAACGGUCCUAAGGUAGCGAAAUUCCUUGUCGGGUAAGUUCCGACCUGCACGAAUGGCGUAAUGAUGGCCAGGCUGUCUCCACCCGAGACUCAGUGAAAUUGAACUCGCUGUGAAGAUGCAGUGUACCCGCGGCAAGACGGAAAGACCCCGUGAACCUUUACUAUAGCUUGACACUGAACAUUGAGCCUUGAUGUGUAGGAUAGGUGGGAGGCUUUGAAGUGUGGACGCCAGUCUGCAUGGAGCCGACCUUGAAAUACCACCCUUUAAUGUUUGAUGUUCUAACGUUGACCCGUGAUCCGGGUUGCGGACAGUGUCUGGUGGGUAGUUUGACUGGGGCGGUCUCCUCCUAAAGAGUAACGGAGGAGCACGAAGGUUGGCUAAUCCUGGUCGGACAUCAGGAGGUUAGUGCAAUGGCAUAAGCCAGCUUGACUGCGAGCGUGACGGCGCGAGCAGGUGCGAAAGCAGGUCAUAGUGAUCCGGUGGUUCUGAAUGGAAGGGCCAUCGCUCAACGGAUAAAAGGUACUCCGGGGAUAACAGGCUGAUACCGCCCAAGAGUUCAUAUCGACGGCGGUGUUUGGCACCUCGAUGUCGGCUCAUCACAUCCUGGGGCUGAAGUAGGUCCCAAGGGUAUGGCUGUUCGCCAUUUAAAGUGGUACGCGAGCUGGGUUUAGAACGUCGUGAGACAGUUCGGUCCCUAUCUGCCGUGGGCGCUGGAGAACUGAGGGGGGCUGCUCCUAGUACGAGAGGACCGGAGUGGACGCAUCACUGGUGUUCGGGUUGUCAUGCCAAUGGCACUGCCCGGUAGCUAAAUGCGGAAGAGAUAAGUGCUGAAAGCAUCUAAGCACGAAACUUGCCCCGAGAUGAGUUCUCCCUGACUCCUUGAGAGUCCUGAAGGAACGUUGAAGACGACGACGUUGAUAGGCCGGGUGUGUAAGCGCAGCGAUGCGUUGAGCUAACCGGUACUAAUGAACCGUGAGGCUUAACCU